AUGCACGCUGGCGGCGUGCCUAAUACAUGCCAGUCGAGCGAACAGACGAGGAGCUUGCUCCUCUGACGUUAGCGGCGGACGGGUGAGUAACACGUGGAUAACCUACCUAUAAGACUGGGAUAACUUCGGGAAACCGGAGCUAAUACCGGAUAAUAUAUUGAACCGCAUGGUUCAAUAGUGAAAGACGGUUUUGCUGUCACUUAUAGAUGGAUCCGCGCCGCAUUAGCUAGUUGGUAAGGUAACGGCUUACCAAGGCAACGACGCGUAGCCGACCUGAGAGGGUGAUCGGCCACACUGGAACUGAGACACGGUCCAGACUCCUACGGGAGGCAGCAGUAGGGAAUCUUCCGCAAUGGGCGAAAGCCUGACGGAGCAACGCCGCGUGAGUGAUGAAGGUCUUCGGAUCGUAAAACUCUGUUAUUAGGGAAGAACAAAUGUGUAAGUAACUAUGCACGUCUUGACGGUACCUAAUCAGAAAGCCACGGCUAACUACGUG
rnacentral:rRNA from 1 species